rnacentral:rRNA from 1 species
GAUUCAUAACCCUUUGUUGUCCGACUCUGUUGCCUCCGGGGCGACCCUGCCUUCGGGCGGGGGCUCCGGGUGGACACUUCAAACUCUUGCGUAACUUUGCAGUCUGAGUAAACUUAAUUAAUAAAUUAAAACUUUUAACAACGGAUCUCUUGGUUCUGGCAUCGAUGAAGAACGCAGCGAAAUGCGAUAAGUAAUGUGAAUUGCAGAAUUCAGUGAAUCAUCGAAUCUUUGAACGCACAUUGCGCCCCCUGGUAUUCCGGGGGGCAUGCCUGUUCGAGCGUCAUUUCACCACUCAAGCCUCGCUUGGUAUUGGGCAACGCGGUCCGCCGCGUGCCUCAAAUCGACCGGCUGGGUCUUCUGUCCCCUAAGCGUUGUGGAAACUAUUCGCUAAAGGGUGUUCGGGAGGCUACGCCGUAAAACAACCCCAUUUCUAAGGUUGACCUCGGAUCAGGUAGGGAUACCCGCUGAACUUAAGCAUAUCAAU